rnacentral:tRNA from 1 species
GGGCUUAUAGUUUAAUUGGUUGAAACGUACCGCUCAUAACGGUAAUUUUGUAGGUUCAAGUCCUACUAAGCCCC